CAUAACUUCAGCUCUUUUAAAAUAUAAACAAAUUUACUUAGAUAAUUUAUAGAGCUCAAAUGUAAUUUAUAGAGCUCAAAUGUGGAGACACUUGGCUCAAAUGUGGAAAUUUCUUUUUUCCUGUUAUCAAUACAUCCCAACAUGCAUUUUUUCCUUGAGCUUUUUCACAUAUCAACUUGAAUUCAGAAGCUUGAUUUGUAUGAAAACAACCAAUAUGCAUGUGUUUUCUCCAAAUUCAUUUCCAUUAUAUGUCAAAAUGAUUACCUUCCACAAAGCUGCAAUCCAAAACCAAUAAGCUAAUGAACAAAAGAGCAUACAUAGUUAUGUUUACAAAUGAUAUUGAGGUGCAGAACCCAAAAGAUACUAUGAAGUACAAAACCUGUACUCCAAAAUCUAAUGUGCCAUCUUUCACUUCCACAUCUGAUGGUUAUAUAUGAUAUGCCACAAAUAUUACUUUUAGUUGCUUCAACUAUACAACAAAAGAACACAAACCAAAAAAGAAUCGUCUAUGGUAAUUCACAAUACAGCCAAAGGAAAAAUAG
rnacentral:misc_RNA from 1 species